rnacentral:rRNA from 1 species
CGCGGCCUAUCAGCUUGUUGGCGGGGUAAUGGCCCACCAAGGCAACGACGGGUAGCUGGUCUGAGAGGAUGGUCAGCCACACUGGGACUGAGACACGGCUCAGACUCCUACGGGAGGCAGCAGUGGGGAAUCUUGCGCAAUGGGCGAAAGCCUGACGCAGCAACGCCGCGUGCGGGAAGAAGGCUUUCGGGCUGUAAACCGCUUUCAGCAGGAACGAAAAUGACGGUACCUGCAGAAGAAGGAGCGGCCAACUAUGUGCCAGCAGCCGCGGUGAUACAUAGGCUUCAAGCGUUGUCCGGAUUUAUUGGGCGUAAAGAGUUCGUAGGCGGUCGAGUAAGUCGGGUGUGAAAAUUCUGGGCUCAACCAGAGACGCCACCCGAUACUGCUUAACUUGAGUUCGAUAGGAGAGUGGGGAAUUCCUAGUGUAGCGGUGAAAUGCGCAGAUAUUAGGAGGAACACCGGUGGCGAAGGCGCCACUCUGGAUCGACACUGACGCUGAGGAACGAAAGCAUGGGUAGCAAACAGGAUUAGAUACCCUGGUAGUCCAUGCGGUAAACGGUGGGCACUAGGUGUGGGUUUCUAUUAACGAAAUCCGCGCCGUCGCUAACGCAUUAAGUGCCCCGCCUGGGGAGUACGG